UACAGAGGUCUCAAGCGUUGUUCGGAUUCAUUGGGCGUAAAGGGUGCGUAGGCGGCGCGGUAAGUCGGGUGUGAAAUCUCGGAGCUUAACUCCGAAACUGCAUUCGAUACUGCCGUGCUUGAGGACUGGAGAGGAGACUGGAAUUUACGGUGUAGCGGUGAAAUGCGUAGAUAAUCGUAAGGAAGACCAGUGGCGAAGGGCCGGGUCUCUGGACAGUUCCUGACGCUGAGGCACGAAGGUCAGGGGAGCAAACGGG
rnacentral:rRNA from 1 species